AAGUCGUAACAAGGUAACCGUAGGUGAACCUGCGGUUGGAUCAUUAUAAAAUGAUAGUUGUUGGUUAGAGGGGCAAAACAUUUAAUGCUUAGCCACCUUUCCAACGACUAAACACCUUUGUGCACCAUAAUUGUAUUUGGGUUGGUCUUUAGUACCAACCCGCCUAUUAACUUCUAUUAUUUUGACUGAAUUUUGUUUCUAUGAAUCAAAAACAACUUUUAACAACGGAUCUCUUGGUUCUG
rnacentral:misc_RNA from 1 species